GUCGGCUGAAAGCCGGACAGAUUUUUAGUGUAUGCGCCAGAACUGGCCCAGAUGAGGAAAUAGUAUACCAGUAGUAAACACUAUUUAUAGCUGUUGGCCCGAGUGUAAGCAUACUCAGCUGAAGUCCGGGUCUACUAAAGUAGCGUCUCAGUGUAAUCGGGCCAAAUCUGGCAUUGUGUAGUCGGACCGACUACGUUGCAUUGUGCCUGGACCGAUUAUGGUUUGAUAUGAUACUGCCAAGAUGUGUAUGAUGUCAGAAAUUCAGUAUGUGGCCCGAUACCAGUGGAACUGACACAUGCCGGUUGUAACGCUGUUUGGCGGCAAUUUAAAAAUGUUUAUGCUUCAGACGGACAGUAUACAGUACACGGCCCGAUUCCGUGAUGCGGCAAUCAGCCCUCUAGCUGUUGAACGGCAACAUCACCACUGCUGUUAUGAUUUGAAUCAAGCAGAGCACAAAGCUGAGCUCCCGUUCGACACAGACACCAUCAUCAAUAACUGGUUAACUGGUUGGGGCUUAUUGGCGGGACAGAUGUACGAGACUGCACAUGGCAUAUAUUGAAGAGGGCGACCGACAACUCCCUGGCUUAAAACCUCAACUGGAUGGAAAAGACUUUAUUUGCCACCCUCUAACUCAGAGAGGUAGUGAUUGAUGCAGUUCGGAGAAGGUCCCUUACAGUUGUGGAGGGGACAAUGAAGAGGUGGCUCGAUCGAGAGGGUGGGUGCAAGAGACAACUUUAGCAAAAGAAAAGCAGUUAGUGUUAGCGCCUGUGUUUGAGUCUGCAAAGGAGAAUGUUUUGUGCUGUAAAAAGAGUGGUGGUGUUUUGGUUAAAUGUGUUUAACUUGUUUUAAUUACUUGGCUUGUGUGUGAGAGGUGUGUGUGCGUGUGGGUUGGUAUAUGUGGUUUAUGGGGAAUAGUGUAUAAUGACAUGUUUAAUAUGCUAUAAACAUGCUUUACAGGGACACAAGUGGUACUUUUUC